GGUAAAAUGGCUGAAUCUAGGCAAUAAAUUGUAAAUUUAUUUAUGAAUUAAAUUCUUUUACUA
rnacentral:tRNA from 1 species